AGCAGCCGCGGUAAUUCCAGCUCCAAUAGCGUAUAUUAAAGUUGUUGCAGUUAAAAAGCUCGUAGUUGAAUUUCGGGGUUAGUAGGUUGGUCAUGCCUCUGGUAUGUACUGGUCUCACUGAUUCCUCCUUCCUGAUGAGCCGUAAUGCCAUUAAUUUGGUGUUGCGGGGAAUCUGGACUGUUACUUUGAAAAAAUUAGAGUGUUUAAAGCAAGCUAACGCUUGAAUACAUUAGCAUGGAAUAAUGAAAUAGGACGUUCGAUCCUAUUUUGUUGGUUUCUAGGAUUGACGUAAUGAUUAAUAGGGAUAGUUGGGGGCAUUAGUAUUCAAUUGUCAGAGGUGAAAUUCUUGGAUUUAUUGAAGACUAACUACUGCGAAAGCAUUUGCCAAGGAUGUUUUCAUUAAUCAAGAAUGAAAGUUAGGGGAUCGAAGACGAUCAGAUACCGUCGUAGUCUUAACCAUAAACUAUGCCGACUAGGGACCGGAUGAUGUUAAUUUUUUAAUGACUCAUUCGGCGCCUUA
rnacentral:misc_RNA from 1 species